GACGAACGCUGGCGUCGUGCCUAAUACAUGCAAGUUGAGCGCUGAAGGUUGGUACUUGUACCAACUGGAUGAGCAGCGAACGGGUGAGUAACGCGUGGGGAAUCUGCCUUUGAGCGGGGGACAACAUUUGGAAACGAAUGCUAAUACCGCAUAAAAACUUUAAACACAAGUUUUAAGUUUGAAAGAUGCAAUUGCAUCACUCAAAGAUGAUCCCGCGUUGUAUUAGCUAGUUGGUGAGGUAAAGGCUCACCAAGGCGAUGAUACAUAGCCGACCUGAGAGGGUGAUCGGCCACAUUGGGACUGAGACACGGCCCAAACUCCUACGGGAGGCAGCAGUAGGGAAUCUUCGGCAAUGGACGAAAGUCUGACCGAGCAACGCCGCGUGAGUGAAGAAGGUUUUCGGAUCGUAAAACUCUGUUGGUAGAGAAGAACGUUGGUGAGAGUGGAAAGCUCAUCAAGUGACGGUAACUACCCAGAAAGGGACGGCUAACUACGUG
rnacentral:rRNA from 1 species